rnacentral:misc_RNA from 1 species
CACGGCUGCGUCUGCAUACGCCCGGCAGAGAACUUGCUCCGCUCACUCGCACACAUUAAAGGCGCGUCUCUGCGUGUCUUCUGCAAGGGUUGUCGCACGGUCCGCAAACACAUCCUGGUCGUGCGGGGCAUUCCUUGAUAGUAAUCUAUUGGCGCGCCCCUCUCUCUUCUACCGCCUCCGCUUCUCGCUUCAGUUAGAAGGGCCGCCCAGGCACCACCUCCUCUCUCGCGGCCGCAGGGAGCAACUCCUUCCCCCCUCCUGGGCCCGCACUUGUGUUCACGGAGGCGACGGCGUUCGGAAAAGGUAUCAACAGAGGCGAGCGAUCAACCACAAUACAAAUAGACGAAAGCACCGAUAACGCCUAGGACACACAGAAAUCGACCUCGACCCCGAGCACACACACACUCUAGACCAGCAAAGCAGCAAUAACAAGGAAAGCGCAGGCAGAUGGACAGCCUUCCGAACCAGCUGAUGAGCCGUAUCGCUGAAAUCUCGCUCUCAGAUGCGCAGAUCCAGUCGUACGGUCGGUGGCUCGCUGCUGCUAUGGGAGCCUACUUCGUGGUCAGCGCCUGGCAGAAGGAUACUCCGACAGAUGUGCAGGCGGCGAUCACGGGGCACAUGGUGCAAGGUUACGACCGCAGCACCAUCACCACCCGCCUUGAGCAGCGCCACACCCGUCAGCUUCUCCAGCAAAUCAUUGGGCUGAACGAGCUGCGCCAGCAACUGCGCUCGGAGACGGACAAGGAGGCGAAGCUGCGGGGCUGGCAACGAGUGUUUCGGCUGACUCUCAUCAGCAUUGCCGCCACCACCUACACGCACAGCCUCACUAUAUCGCUACUCUCGAUUAAGAACAUGGUUCGAGUGCUUGUCUUCCUGCUGAGUCGCCGCGAGAGCGCGGCGCUGUCCAAGAGUCGCAGCGGUCCCAUCUCGACUCUUAGGGCGUGGUGGACGGGAGGGCGGCGCGCCGGCCUCACGGGUAUCAUGAUGGAGUCGAUGAUGGCGAAGAUGGCUGAGCAGGUGAGUCAGCAGGCGUCGCCGUUUGUGAACGCGGAACUGGAGGAGGAGGUGAUGACUGAGGAGGUUCGGCAGCUGCCCGUGCCGCCGCCGCCGCUCGACGGCCGCACCGCGUUUGCGCAGGCGCAGCAACAGCAGGAGAGUCUGGAGGCGGCGCACGGGGAGAGUCUGAGUCAGGUGGAACAGGCUUUCUCGGUGCGCGCGGUGCUCGAGGUGGCGGUGCCGCGUAUUGUAGCGUGCGCUGCAGCUGCGGUGGAUAGCGCCAUUGCGGCGCGGCCGGCGCACCUCUUCAGCGUCAGCGGCAUUGUCCACUCGGCCGACCUGUGCAGCCUGUUGCGUGACAUUGCCCUCGGGAUGGAGCGGCGCGCAUGCGUCUCCGAGUGGGUGCGGCGACCUCAUCCCUCUCUAGUGCCAAUGUCCCGCGCGCGCAGUGGGGCGAGCACCUCCCCAUUGGCUUCAGUGCCGAAGCACCUGGAGACGAGCAAGGGCCGCUUGCAGCCGGACGAGGACGAGGAGCUGCUCGACGAGCCAGAUCAGUCUGCAACGUCCUCGGAGGACAUCAUUGAGUUUCCUCACGGGUCUACCACACUGCUACGCCCCGACGGUCGCCCAGUGCGCCGCCGCGCUGGCGACCGUAGUGAGGACAAAAUUAUCGGUGGGCUGCUUGACCGUCGCCUCGCCGCUGAGGAGGAGGCGCUGCAAGAGGAGGCGAUACGCCGUGAUCAUUUGCUGAAGAGACAGAUGGCGGGCUUCUUCACAGAACUGUCGCACAGCGCGAGCUUUGGCGAGCUGUGUAUUACGUACGCCGCAGAGCUGCUGGCGGCGCAGUUCAAGGAGGCUUGCGACAUCAAACGUGUCAAGACCUAUGACGCGGCGACGGACACGGCGAAGAUGGCGAUGGUGAUCGCCGCCCUCGACAGCUGCCGGCUGGCAGCACUGGAGGAGGAAUGCGAGGUAAAAUCGUACAUGCGGCUCUUCUGCGAGGAAACCAUCCGCUCCACAUGCGCGCGGUAACGCAAGCUGCUGCACCGCCCGGUUCGUUCUUUUCUGUACGUGAGCCUCCGGGUUUGUGCAUGUUUAUGCGUAUGUAUGGCUUGUGUGUAGACUGCCCAUAAAUGCAGCUUAGAGGUGGUGCCGUGCACCUCUCUGUAGCAUUCGCUACGGUAUCCCACCAUAAAUACUUGUCUAAGGUUGCACGGACACUUGCCAGAGGGCGGAAGGAACGAAAAAAAAAAGUUGACGAGGCACAACGACACUUGGAGGCAGCAACGAGUGCCUACACCCUCUCGCCAGCCCCUCCAAAAAAAAAACGCACGAACUCUUUCCUGCGGCGCUCUGCGCUCCUCACCGCCUCAUGAAGCUCCCCGCUUCAAGAUGAGGGAGAAAAGUAUAAUGAUGGUUGCUCUUUCCUCCUUCUCGUGCCUCACACGUAUACGCCUAGAUAUAAUGUGUUCUCUUCGUACGCGCCGUGCCAGACGCAUCGAACACCGUUCAUGGUGGGCGGUGGCAUGAGGAGGUGUGACGAGUAUGGCCGCCUCUCGACGCUGUCUAUGCUUGUUAUUUCCUCCCUUUGCCUGCUCGGACCUCUCCCUCACGCGCAUCUCCUUCUUUUCUCUGCCCGCCCGCGUACAACGCGCCCGCACCUUUGUGCCCGAUUUCACGCUUUACUCCCUGAUUGCGCAACUGAGGGCACGUAG